GUUGGCUGGAAUACCCUGAAGACAGCAGAUCCCACUCAAUCUUGGAAGCUACGCAAGAUUGGCCUUUAUUAGUACUUGGAUGGAAGACCACCAGUGAAUACCAGGUGUUGUAAGCU
rnacentral:rRNA from 1 species